GGGGAGUACGAUCGCAAGAUUAAAAUUCAAAGGAAUUGACGGGUCCCCGCACAAGCAGCGGAGCAUGCGGCUUAAUUCGACGCAACGCGAAGAACCUUACCAAGGCUUGACAUAUACAGGAAUAUGGCAGAGAUGUCAUAGCCGCAAGGUCUGUAUACAGGUGGUGCAUGGUUGUCGUCAGCUCGUGUCGUGAGAUGUUGGGUUAAGUCCCGCAACGAGCGCAACCCUCGUUCUGUGUUGCCAGCAUUAAGUUGGGGACUCACAGGAGACUGCCGGGGUUAACUCGGAGCAAGCUGGGGAUGACGUCAAAUCAUCAUGCCCCUUAUGUCUUGGGCUGCACGCAUGCUACAAUGGCUGGUACAAACGGCUGCGAUACCGCAAGGUGGAGCGAAUCCGAUAAAGCCAGUCUCAGUUCGGAUUGGGGUCUGCAACUCGACCCCAUGAAGUCGGAGUUGCUAGUAAUCGUAGAUCAGCAACGCUACGGUGAAUACGUUCCCGGGGCUUGUACACACCGCCCGUCACAUCACGAAAGUC
rnacentral:rRNA from 1 species